CACUAUCUUGUGGUGGUCGGUUCCAGCGGCCACCAGGCUGCGGGAUCAAAAGGGAAGCCGGUGCGGCGCGCGAGCGCUCAGGCCGGCGCUGCCCCGCAGCGGUAAUUGGGAACGAACCCGUCACCCGCACUGAGGCGCCUGCCUUGGGAAGCGAUGGGCUAGGAACCGGCCAUCGGCCGUCGCCCAUAAGCCCGAAGACCUGCCGACAGCCGCGCGAUGCA
rnacentral:ncRNA from 2 species